GACGUAGGGGGCGAGCGUUGUUCGGAUUUACUGGGCGUAAAGAGAGCGCAGACGGUUUUUCAAGUCAGUUGUUAAAUCUCUCGGCUUAACCGGGAGGUUGCAUUUGAUACUGCUGAACUUGAGGACAACAGAAGGAGGUAGAAUUCCCGGUGUAGUGGUAAAAUGCGUAGAUAUCGGGAGGAAUACCAGUGGCGAAGGCGGCCUCCUAGGUUGUUUCUGACGUUCAAGCUCGAAGGUGUGGGGAGCAAACAGG
rnacentral:rRNA from 1 species